rnacentral:rRNA from 1 species
AUUGAACGCUGGCGGAAUGCUUUACACAUGCAAGUCGAACGGCAGCACGGACUUCGGUCUGGUGGCGAGUGGCGAACGGGUGAGUAAUGUAUCGGAACGUGCCCAGUCGUGGGGGAUAACGUAGCGAAAAUUACGCUAAUACCGCAUACGAUCUAUGGAUGAAAGCGGGGGAUCGCAAGACCUGGCGCGAUUGGAGCGGCCGAUAUCAGAUUAGGGAGUUGGUUGGGUAAAGGCCCACCAAGCCAACGAUCUGUAGCUGGUCUGAGAGGACGACCAGCCACACUGGAACUGAGACACGGUCCAGACUCCUACGGGAGGCAGCAGUGGGGAAUUUUGGACAAUGGGCGAAAGCCUGAUCCAGCCAUUCCGCGUGCAGGAUGAAGGCCCUCGGGUUGUAAACUGCUUUUGUACAGAACGAAAAGGUUUCUACUAAUACUAGGAGCUCAUGACGGUACUGUAAGAAUAAGCACCGGCUAACUACGUGCCAGCCGCCGCGGUAA